GGGGAAUAUUGCACAAUGGGCGAAAGCCUGAUGCAGCAACGCCGCGUGAGUGAAGAAGGUUUUCGGAUUGUAAGGCUCUGUCUUCAGGGACGAUAAUGACGGUACCUGAGGAGGAAGCCACGGCUAACUACGUGCCAGCAGCCGCGGUAAUACGUAGGUGGCAAGCGUUGUCCGGAAUUACUGGGCGUAAAGGGUGCGCAGGCGGACAUUUAAGUGAGAUGUGAAAGACCCGGGCUUAACUUGGGCAGUGCAUUUCAAACUGGAUGUCUGGAGUGCAGGAGAGGAGAACGGAAUUCCUAGUGUAGCGGUGAAAUGCGUAGAGAUUAGGAAGAACACCAGUGGCGAAGGCGGUUCUCUGGACUGUAACUGACGCUGAGGCACGAAAGCGUGGGUAGCAAAC
rnacentral:rRNA from 1 species